CAGUCACUUGCAUACAGGACAAAUCAUGGCCAUGAGAAUUCGUGGUCAGCUCUUGGGGCUACUGGUGCUCUGGAUCACAGGGCACCUACUUGGAUCCUAAAACUCAGAACUUCAAAAGCUUCAAUUAAUAAUGCUGUGAUGACUCAAACCUCAGGAUACCUACUGGUCAGCCUUGGAUGUCAAGCCUCU